CUUCACCGAGCCGAGGAGCAGCGGACGGUCGCGGUCGCGGCCGUAGGUGGCCAGCAGCGCCUGGGCCUC
rnacentral:antisense_RNA from 1 species